rnacentral:rRNA from 1 species
AGAACGAACGCUGGCGGCAUGCCUAAUACAUGCAAGUCGAACGAACUCUUCGGAGUUAGUGGCGCACGGGUGCGUAACGCGUGGGAAUCUGCCCCUUGGUUCGGAAUAACAGUUGGAAACGACUGCUAAUACCGGAUGAUGACGAAAGUCCAAAGAUUUAUCGCCAAGGGAUGAGCCCGCGUAGGAUUAGCUAGUUGGUGAGGUAAAGGCUCACCAAGGCAACGAUCCUUAGCUGGUCUGAGAGGAUGAUCAGCCACACUGGGACUGAGACACGGCCCAGACUCCUACGGGAGGCAGCAGUAGGGAAUAUUGGACAAGUGGGACGAAAGCCUGAUCCAGCAAUGCCGCGUGAGUGAUGGAAGGUCCGUUAGGGG